CCCUUAGAUGUUCUGGGCUGCACGCGUGUUACAAUCGGGAGUACAACAAGAUUGCAAAUCCUAGUGGAUGAGUGGUUCUUCGAAAUUUUCUGAAGACUGGGAUAGUUGAUUGAAAUUAUUCAACUCAAACGAGGAAUUCCUUGUAAUUGUAAUUCAUUAUAUUGUAACGAAUACGUCCCUGCCCUUUGUACACACCGCCCGUCGCUCCUACCGAUUGAACGAUCCGGUGAAUUAUUUGGAGUAGCUCUGGAAGUUGCAGAACUUCCUAUGUCACGAAAUUUUGUAAACCUUAUCGUUUAGAGGAAGGAAAAGUCGUAACA
rnacentral:rRNA from 1 species